UCAAAUGCAAUUUUUAUACAUUUGCCAACCUUAUACAUGUUGUAGACUUAUAAGUUGUAUUAAA